rnacentral:tRNA from 1 species
GGUAGCUUGGUGGUAGAGUAUUUGCCUAGCAUGCAUGAGGCUCUGGGUUCAAUACCCAGUACCA